GACAGUCGGUCGGUCGCUCAGUCGGUCGGUCGCUCAGACAGUCGGUCGGUCGCUCAGUCGGUCGGUCGCUCAG
ensembl:miRNA